AUGAACUUUGUGCUCCCACGGCGCGGCCCAAAACCAAAGGGCUCAAUGUCUCCCCCUGGCGGCGGAGGGCGGCGCUGCAGCUCCUGCUCUGCUCGGAUCCACAGAGUCCCGUUAUGGGGGUGGGGGGUUCAUUGCGGGGGGGGGGGGUUUAUUUGGGGUCCCCCCCCCUCCUCAGCUCUUUUCUUUUUGCUUUUUUUUUUUUGUCCUUUUUUCCCAUUUUUUCCUCACAUUUUUUGCUUUUUUUUCAUGUUUUUUUUUCUCCUUUUUUUCCUCGUUUUUUUUCCUCUUUUUUUGAUCCAUUUUUCCUCCAUUUUUGAUGCAUUUUCUGCUCCUUCUUUUCCCUUUUUCUUCCUCUUUUUUUUUGCUCCUUUUUCUCCAUUUUGCCUUUUUCCACCUUUUUUCCUCUUUUUUUUCUCCUAUUUUCUCCAUUUUUGCUUUAUUUUCCUCCAUUUUCUCCUUUUUUUCCUCUUUUUCUCCUCCUAUUUUCUCCAUUUUUCUUCAUUUUCCUCCAUUUUCUCCUUUCUUUCCUCCUUUUUGCCUCCAUUUUUCCUCCAUUUUCUUCCAUUUUUUCUCCUUCUUUUCACUCUUUUUCCUUUUUUCCUCCUUUUUUCCCUCCUUUUUUCCCUUUUUUCCCCAUUUUCCCCCCUUUUUCCUGCUUUUUUCCUCCAUUUUUCCUCUUUUUUAUCCCCGAUUUUUCUUCCUUUUUUCCUCUUCUUUCCCAUUUUCUCCUUUUUUUCCCUCCUUUUUUUCUCUUUUUUUCUCCUUCUUUUCCCCAUUUUCCUUUAUUUUUUCUCCUAUUUCUUUCAUAUUUUCUCCCUUUUUCCCCAUUUCCUCCUUUUUUUCCUCUUUUUUUCCUUCUAUUUUCUCCUUCUUUCCUCUUUUUCCCCCAUUUUUUCCUCCAUUUUUUCUUCACCUUUUCCCAUUUCUCUCAAUUUUCCCCCUCUUUCCCCCCCAAUUCUCCUUUUUAUCUCAUUUUCUCCCUCUUUUCUCUUUUUUCUCCUAUUUCCUCCUAUUUUCCUGCUUUUUUUUCUCUAUUUUUCCUCCAUUUUUUCUCCUCCUUUUUCCCUUUUCCUCCUUUUUUUCUUUUUUCCUCAUUUUUCCACCAUUUUCUCCUUUUUCCCUCUUUUUUUGCUCCUUUUUCUCCAUUUUCUCCUCUUUUUUCUCCUUUUUUCUCCCUUUUUUCUUCCUUUUUCUCCCUUUUUUCUUCUUUUUCUCCUCUUUUUCUCCAUUUUUCCUCUUUUUCUCCAUUUUUUCCUCCUUUCUCCAUUUUUCCUCCUUUCUUUCCACCUUUUUCCUCCAUUUUUUCUCUCUUUUUCUCCUUUUUUUUUGGCAUUUCUUCCCUUCUUCCCUUUUUUCUUCCCUUCUUCGUUCAAAAUCUCCUUUUAUUUUUUUGUGUCCUUUUUUCUUCUUUUUUUGCCCAUUUUUUGUUCCGUUUUUCUUUUCCAUCCCGUUCUGAGAAUCGACUUUCAUUGACUUUGGCAUCGUGGGGGGGGGGGCGG
rnacentral:lncRNA from 1 species